GUACUUGCUGUGGCAGCACAUAUAUUGAAAUUGGAACAAUAUAGAGAAGAUGAGAAUGGCUCCUGCACAAGGAUGACAUGCAGAUUGGUGAAGCAUUCUAUACUUUU